rnacentral:rRNA from 1 species
UACAGAGGGUGCAAGCGUUAAUCGGAAUUACUGGGCGUAAAGCGCGCGUAGGUGGUUUGUUAAGUUGAAUGUGAAAUCCCCGGGCUCAACCUGGGAACUGCAUUUGUGACUGCAUAGCUAGAGUACGGUAGAGGGGGAUGGAAUUCCGCGUGUAGCAGUGAAAUGCGUAGAUAUGCGGAGGAACACCGAUGGCGAAGGCAAUCCCCUGGACCUGUACUGACGCUCAUGCACGAAAGCGUGGGGAGCAAACAGG